CGGAUUAGGGCCGGGCGGUUAGGCAUCUCAUUUGGGUUGGGAACCAGUUGUGUUCGAUUCACGAUAAUCCGA
rnacentral:tRNA from 1 species